rnacentral:rRNA from 1 species
UGAGGAAUAUUGGUCAAUGGACGCAAGUCUGAACCAGCCAAGUAGCGUGCAGGAUGACGGCCCUAUGGGUUGUAAACUGCUUUUAUAUGGGGAUAAAGUGGGGAACGUGUUCCCUUUUGCAGGUACCAUAUGAAUAAGGACCGGCUAAUUCCGUGCCAGCAGCCGCGGUAAUACGGAAGGUUCGGGCGUUAUCCGGAUUUAUUGGGUUUAAAGGGAGCGUAGGCCGUUUGGUAAGCGUGUUGUGAAAUGUAGGAGCUCAACUUCUAGAUUGCAGCGCGAACUGUCAGACUUAAGUGCGAAGAACGUAGGCGGAAUUCAUGGUGUAGCGGUAAAAUGCUUAGAUAUCGUGAAGAAAUCCGAUUGCGAAGGCAGCUUACGGGAGCGCAACUGACGCGGAAGCUCGAAGGUGCGGGUAUCGAACAGG